CAGUAGCCACGGUAAUACGAGGGGCGCAAGCGUUAUUCGGAUUGAUUGGGUGUAAAGGGUGUGCAGACGGCUUAUUAAGUCACUUGUUAAAUUCUUCGGCCUAACUGAAGGUCUGCAAGUGAUACUGAAGAGCUAGAGGGUGGAAGAGAGAAGUGGAAUUCUCGGAGUAGCGGUAAAAUGCGUAGAUCUCGAGAGGAACACCAAUGGCGAAGGCAGCUUCUUGGUCCAUUCCUGACGUUCAUACACGAAAGCGUGGGGAGCAAACAGGAUUAGAUACCCCUGUAGUCCCUGUCUCUUAUAC
rnacentral:rRNA from 1 species